GGUAAAUAAGAGAGCAGGGGAGGAGACAAAGGUGAAGGAGACGGUGGGAGCAGUGAUACUUACCAAGCUGUUGAGUUCGGCACCCAGAGUACUUCUGAACCCAUUUCAGUUUUGGAAACUUGCUUCAAGUGCACGCGGACAGAGAAGCCCUGUUUGCAGAACAAAUGGAAGGCUCAGGAGUCUAUAGAUCAUCAUUCUCACAAGAAAUCAUUUGGCUGUGGUGUGGGAAAUGGACCCUUGGAAGGUGAGAAUGGAAACAGAGCUCACCAGAAGGCACCUGGUUUAGAUGGUGACUGCAGCCAUGAAAUUAAAUGAUGCUUGCUCCUUGGAAGAGAAGCAUGACCAACCUAGACAGCAUAUUAAAAAGCAGAGACACUACUUUGCUGACAAAGGUCUGUCUAGUAAACGUGAUGGUUUUUCCAGUAUUCAUGUAUGGAUGUGACAGUUGGACUAUAAAGAAAGCUGAGUGCCGAAGAAUAGAUGCUUUUGAGCUGUGGUGUUGGAGAAGACUCUUGAGAGUCGCUUGGACUGCAAGGAGAUCAAACCAAUCAAUCCUCAAGGAAAUCAGUCCUGAAUAUUCAUUGGAAGGACUGAAGCUGAAGUUCCAAUACUUUGGCCACCUGAUGCAAAGAACUGGCUCAUUGGAAAAGACCCUGAUCCUGGGAAAGAUUGAAGGCAGGGGGAGGAGGGGAUGACAGAGGAGGAGAUGGUUGGAUGGUAUCACCAACUUGAUGGACAUGAGUCUGGGUAAUCUCUGGCAGUUGGUGAUGGACAGGGAGGCCUGGCAUGUUGUAGUUCAUGGGGUCAUAAAGAGUUGGACUCGACUGAGUGAACUGAACUGAACUGAACUGAACCACUUAUCAUAUACAUAAUUUGCAAGUAUUUUCCCCCAUUUUAUAG
ensembl:lncRNA